GUGCUCGCUUCGGCAGCACAUAUACUAAAAUUGGAACGAUACAGAGAAGAUUAGCAUGGCCCCUGCGCAAUGAUGACAAAGAAAAAAAAAAAGAAAAAAAAAGACUGU
rnacentral:snRNA from 1 species